GCUAACUACGUGCCAGCAGCCGCGGUAAUACGUAGGCAGCAAGCGUUGUUCGGAAUUACUGGGCGUAAAGGGUGCGUAGGCGGCGCUCUAAGUUUGGUGUGAAAUCUCCCGGCUUAACUGGGAGGGUGCACUGAAAACUGGAGCGCUCGAGUAUGGGAGAGGAAAGCGGAAUUCCUGGUGUAGCGGUGAAAUGCGUAGAGAUCAGGAGGAACACCUGCGGUGUAGACGGCUUUCUGGACCAUAACUGACGCUGAGGCACGAAAGCGUGGGUAGCAAACAGGAUUAGAUACCCUUGUAGUC
rnacentral:rRNA from 1 species